UACAGAGGGUGCGAGCGUUGUUCGGAGUUACUGGGCGUAAAGAGUGCGUAGGCGGUUUUCUAAGUUUGGUGUGAAAUCUCCCGGCUUAACUGGGAGGGUGCGCCGAAGACUGGAAGGCUUGAGUAUGGGAGAGGUAAGCGGAAUUCCUGGUGUAGCGGUGAAAUGCGUAGAUAUCAGGAGGAACACCUGCGGUGUAGACGGCUUACUGGACCAUAACUGACGCUGAGGCACGAAAGCGUGGGUAGCAAACAGG
rnacentral:rRNA from 1 species